rnacentral:rRNA from 1 species
UACGAAGGGUGCAAGCGUUAAUCGGAAUUACUGGGCGUAAAGCGCGCGUAGGCGGAUUGGCAAGUUGGGGGUGAAAUCCCGGGGCUCAACCUCGGAAUGGCCUUCAAGACUGCUGGUCUUGAGUUCGAGAGAGGUGAGUGGAAUUCCGAGUGUAGAGGUGAAAUUCGUAGAUAUUCGGAGGAACACCAGUGGCGAAGGCGGCUCACUGGCUCGACACUGACGCUGAGGUGCGAAAGCGUGGGGAGCAAACAGG